ACUCUUGUGUCAUGCUGCCCAAGUAACCUUCAGCUGCUGCACAGGCAAUCUGCUUAACUGCAAUGAAAAGGCUUAAUAUUGGAUGACUCAUUACAGGACUUAGAGCUAUAUCCAGUGCUUAUUCAGCCUUCACUCUCAAAUGUCCUUCAGUGCAAGGAGUUGAAUGCAUAUUGCUGGGCUUUCUUAAGCCAAAGAAAGGAUGGGAGGGACCAGCCUUCCUCUCUUUGUCAACUGCAUCUUUGAUCCGUACCUGCUUCCAGCAGCAGAGGAGUAAGGGUGAGGUGGCACAGGACUGGGGAGAGAGAUGCUUUCUUCAGAGUUUUCUAAGUGCCUCUGCUGCAGUAAAAAUCAAUGGUACUCCUGGAUCUGAUUGCCUGUUCCAGUGCUGUCCUGUGGAAAAACACCUCACAUCAUUUAAUAGUUUAAUUUGCUGAAGACCUUCAAACAAUUUCAUCUAAGAAGCACUCUCUGACUGAAUAUAUAUUAAAAAACUUUCAAAUGAAAACGCCUGAGAGAAAGCCCAGGCAACUGAUACCAUAAGGCCUAGGAGUUAAUCAGUAAUGAGGGAUAAUACUCGGGUUUGUGGAGUUGAAAUGAUGGGUGAGAUCUUAGUAGAGAAGAAAAGAAGGUCAGGAGAAGAGAGAAGGAGAUUCUGCUGGGAAAUUGGAGCCUUCUCUCCCCGAUCUUGAACCAAUAUCAUUUAAGUCCCAGCUGCCAAAAGAUUUCUUUCUUACUUGUUCAGUAAACCCUAGCAAGAGUUGGUUUGGCCAAUAUCUGAUUCACAGUGCCUUCCAGAUACCCUGUAGCCUUUUAAUCUUAUCUACCAUUAGCUUUUCAUAUCUGUUGAGACACCAGCUUCUCUUGUACAAUUGCAACUGCUCUGAAGCAAGAGCUCUCUGGACUGUUGUAGAAAUCCACAAAAUCCAUCUAAAGUCUCACUCGAAUAUAAAAAGAACCAAUUUAUGUUCAGUGAGAUUUGACACUGGACUUCAAUAAUACUGUAAUUGAGUCUGUGUCUCUAACUUCUGUCCUUUAUUUCUCUCUAUUCCUUCAUUUUCAUUGUCCUUCAUCCUUCCCCCAAGUACAUUUUCUUUUUGAUUGAUUUCUCAAUCUCUUCUUCAUUUCUGUUCCUCCCUUUUCCCUGUGCCACAAGCUUUCCUUGUGCCCUUUCUCUUAUGCUUUACAUUGUCUUUUCAUUUUCCUUCCCUCCCUCCUCCCCCCACCAUUCCUUCUACCUUCCAUUGUUGGUUUUUUUUGUUUGUUUGUUUGUUUGUUUUGCUGACACCUCUUUCCUUCUUUGCCACCCUCCCCCCCUCCUGGGGCUCAGCUGUGGCCAUCAGUAACUCUAGGGCAGAUCCACCAGUGGACUUUCAGCCUUUUCAGUCCCUGAGUUCCCAGAGGUUAGCCCAGGGUCAUAAAAUCCUCACAUUCCCAUUUCUCUCCAUUUCUUCUCCUUAUGGAAUGCUAAGCAGAGGCAGGGAGAGGUGCUCACCUGUAUCCCUUCCAGCUGAAAAAGGGUGCUGUGGGACAUGGUGUCUUUUCACAGGCACUACUGUGUCUUUGGGGAAAGGGUCUGUACUGGAGGGCUGAUUUAAAACUUUUCUUCUCCUGCAGUCAAGAUCAAAUAACUUGUAUCCAGAAACAUUUAUUGCCUAAGGGAUUUGACUGUGUCCUGUUAAUAACAAUAUUCCCUGAAUAGAUUUUAACACAUUCUCUUUUCUUGUUCAUUUAAAAUUGUUGCCUGAAAGUUUCCAUUAAAUGAGUUUAGACAU
rnacentral:lncRNA from 7 species